UAAUAAAAAUGAUCAGCGGGCCGGGCAGUUAGAAGCUGCUUUUUUUCUGUCUCAGGUCUCUCCGCUUUCUUCCCUCUAAGAAGGGACACUAGGGGCUCACGCUGGGGUUGGGGGUGCGGCCCGCCGGUCCCCGCCACCAGCGCAGCGAGGAAGGGCCUCUCUCGCCUCUGCCUGGAGCAGCACGGGUGGGGGAGAGCCUCGGCCCGCGGGACCCACUGACGGGGCACACUGGGCACACUGUCUCCGGCCCCGGUUCGCAGCUGCCCCGCAUACAAUGGGUUCGAAGCAGAGUGAAGAGGGCAAGAUGGGGGCGGGAGAAGGCAGGAGGAUUGCGGCGCUCGGGGCUCCCGGAUAAGGGCGAUAGAAGAGGAGGGGGGAAGGGGUGUCCCUACAUCAAGGCUGGUCCCGCUACUCGGAAAGGGGGCGGGGAGACGGGCGUUGGGGGGGGGAGAGAUUUUCACAUGCCUUUUUCUUUGUUUUUC
rnacentral:lncRNA from 1 species